rnacentral:rRNA from 1 species
AGUGAACGCUGGCGGUAGGCCUAACACAUGCAAGUCGAACGGCAGCACAGUAAGAGCUUGCUCUUACGGGUGGCGAGUGGCGGACGGGUGAGGAAUACAUCGGAAUCUACUUUUUCGUGGGGGAUAACGUAGGGAAACUUACGCUAAUACCGCAUACGACCUACGGGUGAAAGCAGGGGAUCUUCGGACCUUGCGCGAUUGAAUGAGCCGAUGUCGGAUUAGCUAGUUGGCGGGGUAAAGGCCAACCAAGGCGACGAUCCGUAGCUGGUCUGAGAGGAUGAUCAGCCACACUGGAACUUGGACACGGUCCAGACUCCUACGGGAGGCAGCAGUGGGGAAUAUUGGACAAUGGGCGCAAGCCUGAUCCAGCCAUACCGCGUGGGUGAAGAAGGCCUUCGGGUUGUAAAGCCCUUUUGUUGGGAAAGAAAAGCAGCAGGUUAAUACCCCGCUGUUCUGACGGUACCCAAAGAAUAAGCACCGGCUAACUUCGUG